rnacentral:rRNA from 1 species
GGCGGACUGGUGAGUAACGCGUGAGGAACCUACCUUCCAGAGGGGGACAACAGUUGGAAACGACUGCUAAUACCGCAUGACGCAUGACCGGGGCAUCCCGGGCAUGUUAAAGAUUUUAUCGCUGGAAGAUGGCCUCGCGUCUGAUUAGCUAGAUGGUGGGGUAACGGCCCACCAUGGCGACGAUCAGUAGCCGGACUGAGAGGUUGACCGGCCACAUUGGGACUGAGAUACGGCCCAGACUCCUACGGGAGGCAGCAGUGGGGAAUAUUGGGCAAUGGACGCAAGUCUGACCCAGCAACGCCGCGUGAAGGAAGAAGGCUUUCGGGUUGUAAACUUCUUUUGUCAGGGAAGAGUAGAAGACGGUACCUGACGAAUAAGCCACGGCUAACUACGUGCCAGCAGCCGCGGUAAUACGUAGGUGGCAAGCGUUGUCCGGAUUUACUGGGUGUAAAGGGCGUGCAGCCGGGCCGGCAAGUCAGAUGUGAAAUCUGGAGGCUUAACCUCCAAACUGCAUUUGAAACUGUAGG